rnacentral:rRNA from 1 species
UACGGAGGGUGCGAGCGUUAAUCGGACUAACUGGGCGUAAAGGGCACGCAGGCGGGCCUUUAAGUGAGAUGUGAAAUCCCCGGGCUUAACCUGGGAAUAGCAUUUCAGACUGGGAGGCUAGAGUAUGUUAGGGAGGGGUAGAAUUCCACGUGUAGCGGUGAAAUGCGUAGAGAUGUGGAGGAAUACCGACGGCGAAGGCAGCCCCUUGGGAAUGUACUGACGCUCAUGUGCGAAAGCGUGGGGAGCCAACAGG